ACGACUUCCUUUGGGAGAGAAAGAGCUGAGCUUGUCACACAACCAUUGCUAUGGAAGCAGCAAGUGAGAGUGGCACCUGGCCUGCAAUUGGGAAGACCCAGCCUACUGUGACCACAGAUAUUUGGAUUUAGAAUUCUGAAAUGAACUGUGGAAGGAAAGAAAUAGGACUGCCAGGAGUUCGAUCCUGACUGGCUCAAGGUUGACUCAGUCUUCCAUCCUUCCGAGAUAGAAGCAUAAUUCGGAGACCAAGAACUACAUGACCUUAAGGGACCCCAUUCUGGAUCUCAGCAGAGCACACCUCUGAGAUGCAAAAGACUAAAUUUCAGAGAAUGCACUCAGCUUGUUCUGCAACCCUCUCCAAAUUCCAUUCUUUCUGUUUAUCGGAAUAUUUUUUUACGCGAUGCAAUCGUCCUAGAUGAAGGAUUAACUACUGUACACAUUGUCUAAUGGGAGAAAGUUUAAAUGUAAACUCCUCCACAUUAUAGCAACCACAGUAAAGAACUUUUAAUAAAAUGGGUCUUUUCAGCAGAAAACGGCACCUGUAUCACACGGCUGGAUAACU